CACAAAUUAGAGAUCAAAACAUAGUUUUUUAUUGAUGAAUGAGAAGCAGAGAGUGUGACUACAGGACUAAGUAAUCAAUAUUUUCUUUUUGAUUAUCUAAUAAUAAAGAUAAACAAUAUAGUGUAAACUGUAAACUUAUAGGAGCAAGCAAUUUUAUUUGUUCCCCGAACCUAAUCCUUUAGCUUUGCUUGCUGUUUCCUCAAGAAAAUGAAAAACCCUUUUCAUUUUCUCUCUCUAAAAAUCAGUUAGGGCCUCCUCACAAAUCAAUAUAGUUAGGGCUUUCUCUCAAACAAUAUCCCAAAUCAGAAAGAGACCCUCUUCAAAUUAUUUCAAAUCAACAUCUCAUCCUCCUUUUCUCUCUCUAAAAAUUAGUUAGUGCCUCUUCCAUUAGGGUAUGUGAAGCCGAUGAUCUCUUCCUUCUUUCUUCUUCCUUCUUCUCUUUUUAUAAACCCUAAUCACUAUGAGCCUAGCCCUAUUUUUCUUCUCUUCCUUCUUCUCUCUAUAAAUCGUAAACACUGAGAUGUGAAACCCAAAUUUCUACGAGCCUCUUUUUAAUUAAAUAAAUUUAUAAAACUUUAACCCUAGUUAUGGAGUGACCAUGGUCACCAUACCAUAGUUAAAUUAAUGUAAUGAGCAAACAAAAAUUGUGUAUUUUUUUUGUACUUGCUAAGUAGGUGUGAUGUUUAAGUAUUUAAUGAAUAAAUUUAUAUAGUAUAUUUGUUACCAUACCAUAGUUAAAGUAUUUACUUAAUAACUUUAUGUAGUGUAUUUGUUUUUAGUAUGUAAUGACUAGGUGUGAUGUUUCUUAAAGUAUUUAAAGGGUAGAUUUAUAUGAUACAUAUUUUUUUGGUAUAUACUAGUUAAUUAUAUAUUUAAUAUUGGAUGAUUGGAUGAGAGUCACGAGGCAUCUAAAUUAAUUGACUUAAUCAUAUUAGUCUAGUAAAGUUUUUAUGGAUGAAUUAGUUAUUG
rnacentral:lncRNA from 1 species